rnacentral:rRNA from 1 species
AGUGAACGCUGGCGGUAGGCCUAACACAUGCAAGUCGAACGGCAGCACAGUAAGAGCUUGCUCUUACGGGUGGCGAGUGGCGGACGGGUGAGGAAUACAUCGGAAUCUACUUUUUCGUGGGGGAUAACGUAGGGAAACUUACGCUAAUACCGCAUACGACCUACGGGCGAAAGCAGGGGAUCUUCGGACCUUGCGCGAUUGAAUGAGCCGAUGUCGGAUUAGCUAGUUGGCGGGGUAAGGGCCCACCAAGGCGACGAUCCGUAGCUGGUCUGAGAGGAUGAUCAGCCACACUGGAACUGAGACACGGUCCAGACUCCUACGGGAGGCAGCAGUGGGGAAUAUUGGACAAUGGGCGCAAGCCUGAUCCAGCCAUACCGCGUGGGUGAAGAAGGCCUUCGGGUUGUAAAGCCCUUUUGUUGGGAAAGAAAAGCAGCAGGUUAAUACCCCGCUGUUCUGACGGUACCCAAAGAAUAAGCACCGGCUAACUUCGUG